AGCAGCCGCGGUAAUUCCAGCUCCAAUAGCGUAUAUUAAAGUUGUUGCAGUUAAAAGCUCGUAGUUGAAUUUCGGGAUCAAAGAAUCGGUCAUGCCUUGGUAUGUACUGGUUUUAUUGGUUCUCACCUUCUAAAGAACCAUGAUGUCAUUCAUUUGGUGUUAUGGGGAAUUAGGACUGUUACCUUGAAAAAUUAGAGUGUUUAAAGCAAGCUUACGCUUGAAUACAUUAGCAUGGAAUAAUGAAAUAGGACAUCAGAUUCUAUUUUGUUGGUUUCUAGGAUCGAUGUAAUGAUUAAUAGGGAUAGUUGGGGGCAUUAGUAUUCAAUUGUCAGAGGUGAAAUUCUUGGAUUUAUUGAAGACUAACUACUGCGAAAGCAUUUGCCAAGGAUGUUUUCAUUAAUCAAGAACGAAAGUUAGGGGAUCGAAGACGAUCAGAUACCGUCGUAGUCUUAACCAUAAACUAUGCCGACUAGGGAUCGGAUGAUGUUAAUUUUUAUUGACUC
rnacentral:misc_RNA from 1 species